AGCAGCCGCGGUAAUUCCAGCUCCAAUAGCGUAUAUUAAAGUUGUUGCAGUUAAAAAGCUCGUAGUUGAAUUUCGGGAUCAAUUAAUUGGUCGUGCCUCUGGUACGUACUGAUUUUAUUGGUUUCUCCCUUCUGACGAACCAUGAUGUCAUUAAUUUGGUGUCGUGGAGAAUCAGGACUGUUACUUUGAAAAAAUUAGAGUGUUUAAAGCAAGCUAACGCUUGAAUACAUUAGCAUGGAAUAAUGAAAUAGGACGUUUGAUCCUAUUUUGUUGGUUUCUAGGAUCGACGUAAUGAUUAAUAGGGAUAGUUGGGGGCAUUAGUAUUCAAUUGUCAGAGGUGAAAUUCUUGGAUUUAUUGAAGACUAACUACUGCGAAAGCAUUUGCCAAGGAUGUUUUCAUUAAUCAAGAACGAAAGUUAGGGGAUCGAAGACGAUCAGAUACCGUCGUAGUCCUAACCAUAAACUAUGCCGACUAGGGAUCGGAUGAUGUUAAUUUUUUAAUGACUCA
rnacentral:rRNA from 1 species